ACGACCGCUCCGCUGUGGCACACCAGGUGCUGAAGAACACUAAGUGAAGCCACAGAGAAGCCUUCCAGGUUGCAAAGUGAGUCCUCAAGGCUGGCCUCUCCCCCAGAGCUCACGUAGGAGGAACUUGUCGUAAACUCUACCCCCAAUAUGGGGCUUGAACGCACAACUCUGAGAUCAAGAGUCACGUGCUCUAUGGACUGGGCCAGCCAGGCACCCCAUAAUGAAUUUAAAACAGAGAUUGUUCUACUUCCUCAACCUUGGAUCAAAUCAAGAACCAGAGCAACUCAAGAACCCUUGCAUCAUUGCCUCCCUCAUGAAAAACAGGAACUCCUACAAGGAAAGGAAAAGAAAAGAAAGUUGUUUGCUCCACUUUAAAAUGAGGCAAUAACGUGAAAGCAGUAACCACGAACACUUAUUAUGUGCCAGACAAACCCUGUUCUAAGAGCCGUACCCAUGUUAGCUCAUCUGUUCCUCAAAGCAACCCUAAGAGGAGGUGUCAUCUCCUCUAUUUUACAUAUAGAGAAACUGAGGCAUGGGUUAAGGGACUUGCUCCAAUCACACAAGCCAGUAAGUAGUGUGACCGGGACUCCUGUCAGGCUGGUGGGCUCCAGUGCCUGCCCACAACACCAUCCUAUACUGUUCCUGUAGUUGCCGGGUACCAAAAAUGUGAGUGGUUGAGGUCCUCAGAGGUGGCAUGAGGGCCAACGACUUGAACAGGUGGAUGGUGGUAGGAGAGAGGUGAUGUAUUGGAAUGGUAAGAUAAACUGACACAGCAUAUUCUCAGAGUAAAAACCUACCAAUGCUAGACUGUGUCCCUCUAUAAGGCAGUAGCAUGCCCUCAGUCUGGACUGAGCUGUAUAAACUCAAGGCUCAAGGAACACAGGUACCUGAUACUAGCUGUGUUUCUGGCACAUCAAUGGAUGGUGACUGGGGAGGUUUUAAAAUAUGCCUGCAAAUUCUACAAACACUUCUCUUCAAAAGGUGCAGCCUAGUUUCCUUCCCAUUGAACAUGGUUUCUAACAAACAGAAUGUGGCAGAAGUGAUGCUAUAGGACUCCCGAGGCCAGGCCAUAAAAGGGAUAGCUUCCACCUCGCUCUCUCUGGUUUGUUAGCUCUAGAGGAGGCCAUCCACCAGGUUAUGACAUCGCCCAAGUAGCUCUGUAGAGAGACCCACGUGUGGAGAAGAACUCCAUUGCCAGUCAUGUGAGGGAGCCACUCUGAAUAGAUCCUCCAGCCCCAGACGAGCCUCCAGUGAUUCCAGUCCCCACAGAGACAAACCAUCUCCUCUUUAUCAGAACUGUUGUCCCACAGAACCAGGAGGAGUACUUAUUGUUGUUUUAAGCCACAAGGUUGAAUAAUCGGUUACACGGCAACAGAUGACAGACAGACUGACUUACCCUCUCUGCCCACCAGGGACUUAUAUCCUGGCUCUGUCUGGAAGGGGUGGGGAAGGGACAUGUUAGCACUAAAAGACUCCUUUGUAGGGAAAGAUGGUUUUCCGAAUUGUGGAGAACAUGCUUCUGGCUUUAUAGCCACAGAAGGGCUUUUCCUAGGACUGGAAAAAGUUAACUAUGAAAGCAAAGUAAUGAUUCUGCUAAAACCACUUAAAAUACCUGGUUAUAAAACUUCUAACAAAUGUUAAACUUUUCAUGUUUAAAUGGUAAACCUGCUCCGGCCCAUGGCCAAUGUCUAGGUGCUUUGACCAAAGGUUUUUAUCUGUUAUAUAUUAGUCAUUCUUUGUCAGUCAGGAUAGCAGUGUAAAACUCAAGGUAUUUUGAUCCAGAUGGUGGAAAAACUCUUUCAUUUCUGUAUUCUUCUAAUAAUCACCCCAAAACAUUGGCCAUAAUUCCAUUACAACUUCCAAUUCCACCAAAAUCUUUUUAAUAUGGAACAGCCUCUUAUUUAAUCGUUCCCAGGGGCUGGAUUCAAAGAUUUUCAGUAGAAAGAAGGUCUAUUAAAAGGCGUGUUGUUGUGUCUUGCAACUUGAAAACAGCCCGUUCCUCAGUGCCAGGGGUUUUGUGUUAGGGAAGCAGUCUUAACCCCCCGAGUGCAUCAGACAACACCAAGAGCCUUCUGUCAGAGACGUGUGAUGAGGUGGGGAUGGACCCCUCUGCUCUCCUGUCUUAUUUGGACUAAGCUAGGCAAAAAGAGUUUAAUUUCACACCCUGCCCAUUAUGAGCAAAGGCAGCAGAAUGUUCAAUAUUCAGAAAAAGACACGCUGACCCACACUGUUCAAAAUUCAAGGCUGAUAUCAACGGUGUGCCAGACUUCUCUGGCAGGCAAGGCGCAGGACAGGACCAUUAACAAGCUGAUCACAUCUAUAGCAAAGGCAGGGGCUAUUAGACAAAGGUCCCAAGGCAGUAAAUGAGAAAAAAUAUUCCAAGUAGUUGGGACUGAAAUAUGCUCAUACUUGGGGCAAAACUGAUUAUUUGAAACACAUUACAUAAAAAUGAAGACUGGGUCACCCCAAAAGUUUAGAGAGCAUCUUUCCAGCCCUUUUUUAGUCCUGAGUAUAAAGUCCUAUAGAGGAAGCCCUUCUAGAGUGUGAGGCCUUUAUGCGGUGAUGCACCAAACCGUUCAAGCCUCAUCUAAACCACCUUUGAGGCCUUCAGGAAAGAGGAUCUAUGUCCAAAUGGCAAAGUUUAAACAGCCUUCAUUCAAGACUAACCUGACGUUGUUACUCAGACUUUCUAAUAAACCAUGCAAAACAACUCUCCUUCCAGCAUCAUCAUUACCUGGCAUGGAGAAUGGAGGGAGCAGCCAAUUUAUUUGCUCGUUCACUGCUUUGAAGCUUUGUCCUUAAUUCAUUCAUCUCAGCAUCUUUAAAUUGGAGUUCGGACUGCAAUGAUUGGAGCUGGAAGGCAAAAGCAACAUACUAAUGGUCUUCUUGAAAUUUUACCAACACGCCACGCAGCAUGGGGAGACCUGCUCCAGCCCAUGGCCAGCAGUAACUGCUAUUAUUCCCUGAGCACACUCUGUGCCUGUAUGGCACCAGUCACAGCACCAGUCACAGAGUUUUUGACAUCCCAUCUAAUCUGGGGACCUUAUGAACAUCUGUAAAAAAACAGUUUCCAUAUACUUUUCUGGAUCCAACACUUUCCCACUUUUGCCAGUCAAUGCUGAAAAGAAUCACUCUUGAAAGCAAAUUAGAGAAAGAUCUAGUAAGCAGUAUAGGUAUUUUCCAACCUAAAAAUGUGAUUCAAACUCAUAAAUGAUCCUUAUGAAAUGACAAACAGAUCCUGCCUCCCCCUACUCCCCACCCCUCAAUUUUAAGAGUAUCAUCUAAAGGCUGAAAAGGUGCUGUGGGAACCUCACUGGUCAGAACUUGGUGAUCUGUUAUUCGACAAUAUUUACUGAGCACCUAUACCUAUACCUACUGAGCACCGGGCACAGUCUAGUCUCUAAAGGUACAGUGGUGAGCAAAAUGGAUACAGUCCUUACACUCAUGGAGCUUAGAGGACAUUCAAAAAUAAUUACACAAAUAAAUGUAAAAUUACAACUGUGAUAAGAGCUACACAAGAGAACAAGUAUAGGAAAGCCAAGGAUAUGGAUCCAACUGGAACGACUGGAAGGCUUCCCAAGGAAGUGAUGACUGAGGCACCAUGCUGGCAAUACUGGAGAAUGACUGGACUUCCAGAUGAAUGUGUGGGAUUUAAGAUGCCUGUGAGAUAUCCAAGUACAGAUGCAAGAUGCCCUCAAAACGUUUCUCCUUCUGUGAGCCCCACAAGGCUUCACUCACUCCCCAGCUAGAAAAUAAGCUCCCGAAGAAAGGAGUUUUUGUCUUUUGUUCAUUGCUAAGUGUGCUGCAGUUCCUAAGGUUUUGGACAUCUAGUACAAUUUACUGGUUGUAUAACGGAAUAAACCUCUUUCAUCUCUUGCCUCA